rnacentral:tRNA from 1 species
ACUCCUAUAGUUUAAAGGAUAGAGCAAAGGCCUUCUAAGCCUUCGAUGUGGGUUCGAUUCCCGCUGGGAGUA